rnacentral:rRNA from 1 species
UGCCGCGUGAGUGAAGAAGGCCUUCGGGUUGUAAAGCUCUUUCAGCCGGGAAGAAAAUGCAUGGAUUAAUACCCUGUGCAGAUGACGGUACCGGAAUAAGAAGCACCGGCUAACUACGUGCCAGCAGCCGCGGUAAUACGUAGGGUGCGAGCGUUAAUCGGAAUUACUGGGCGUAAAGCGUGCGCAGGCGGUUGGUUAAGAUAGGCGUGAAAUCCCCGGGCUCAACCUGGGAACUGCGCUUAUGACUGGUCAGCUAGAGUACGGCAGAGGGGGGUGGAAUUCCACGUGUAGCAGUGAAAUGCGUAGAGAUGUGGAGGAACACCAAUGGCGAAGGCAGCCCCCUGGGUCGAUACUGACGCUCAUGCACGAAAGCGUGGGUAGCAAACAGGAUUAGAUACCCUGGUAGUCCACGCCCUAAACGAUGUCAACUAGGUGUUGGGAGGGUAAAACCUUUUAGUACCGUAGCUAACGCGAGAAGUUGACCGCCUGGGGAGUACGGCCGCAAGGUUAAAACUCAAAGGAAUUGACGGGGACCCGCACAAGCGGUGGAUGAUGUGGAUUAAUUCGAUGCAACGCGAAAAACCUUACCUACCCUUGACAUGUCAGGAACUUGCCAGA